rnacentral:rRNA from 2 species
UAGUGGGAGGUGUGUCUCGGACGGUCGGUUCGCCGCUUGUCGGUGCUCAACUGGCCGGUCCGGACGUCCUGCCGGUGGGGCCGCGAGGCUCCGUCAUCCUUCUUUGGUCCUCUUCACCGAGUGCCUUGGUGGGCCGGCACGUUUACUUUGAACAAAUUAGAGUGCUCAAAGCAGGCCGUUGGUCGCCUGAAUACUGUGUGCAUGGAAUAAUGGAAUAGGACCUCGGUUCCAUUUUGUUGGUUUUCAGAACUCGAGGUAAUGAUUAAUAGGGACGGACGGGGGCAUUCGUAUUGCGACGUUAGAGGUGAAAUUCUUGGAUCGUCGCAAGACGAACCGAUGCGAAAGCAUUUGCCAAGAACGUUUUCGUUGAUCAAGAACGAAAGUUAGAGGUUCGAAGGCGAUCAGAUACCGCCCUAGUUCUAACCAUAAACGAUGCCAGCUAGCCAUCCGCCGAAGUUCCUUCUAUGACUCGGCGGGCAGCUUCCGGGAAACCAAAGCUCUUGGGUUCCGGGGGAAGUAU